GUUAGGAAUAUUGGACAAUGGGCGAAAGCCUGAUCCAGCCAUGCCGCGUGAACGAUGAAGGCCUUCGGGUUGUAAAGUUCUUUAGUCGAUGAUUAUAAUGACUGUAGUCGGAAAAUAAGCCCCGGCUAACUUCGUGCCAGCAGCCGCGGUAAUACGAAGGGGGCGAGAGUUAUUCGGAAUCACUGGGCGUAAAGCGUGCGUAGGCGGUUUUGUAAGUUAGGAGUGAAAGCCCAGGGCUCAACCUUGGAAUUGCUCUUAAAACUGCAAGGCUCGAAUCUCGGUGAGGAUAGCGGAAUUUCCAGUGUAGCAGUGAAAUGCGUAGAUAUUGGAAGGAACACCAGUGGCAUGAGCGGCUAUCUGGACGAGUAUUAACGCUGAGGCACGAAAGCGUGGGGAUCAAACAGGAUUAGAUACCCUGGUAGUCC
rnacentral:rRNA from 1 species